rnacentral:rRNA from 1 species
UGGGGAAUAUUGGACAAUGGGCGCAAGCCUGAUCCAGCCAUGCCGCGUGAGUGACGAAGGCCUUAGGGUUGUAAAGCUCUUUUGGCGGGGAAGAUAAUGACGGUACCCGCAGAAUAAGCUCCGGCUAACUUCGUGCCAGCAGCCGCGGUAAUACGAAGGGAGCUAGCGUUGUUCGGAAUCACUGGGCGUAAAGCGCACGUAGGUGGGCAGUUAAGUCAGGGGUGAAAGCCCGAGGCUCAACCUCGGAAUUGCCUCUGAUACUGGCUGUCUAGAGUCCGAGAGAGGUGGGUGGAAUUCCUAGUGUAGAGGUGAAAUUCGUAGAUAUUAGGAAGAACACCGGUGGCGAAGGCGGCCCACUGGCUCGGUACUGACACUGAGGUGCGAAAGCGUGGGGAGCAAACAGGAUUAGAUACCCAAGUAGUCCCUGAGCGGGCUGGCAAGGCGCAU